UAUGUAAACCUACGCGAAUUUAAAAUCUACCUUCAAUUUCACGGCGUUUUCUUGUCAAACGCUGCAAGAUACCUAGGUAUAUAAUUUCAUUUCCACAUCAUCGUCAUCGUCGUCGCGAACAAACACCGCGCCCCGUGUAAUGUAAUUACACCGUUUAAUUCAAGCCUAAAGGAGCACAAAGCUGAUUAAAAGCCGACUUUGAACCACACGCAUAAUGCGCGGUCACCGGCCAAAAUAAAUACACGUUUCGCUCCGCG